rnacentral:tRNA from 1 species
GUCCCCGUGGUGAAACGGAUAUCACACCGGUCUUCGGAACCGUCGUUGGGGGUUCGAAUCCUCCCGGGGACA